UACGGAGGGUCCAAACGUUGUCCGGAAUCACUGGGCGUAAAGAGCAUGUAGGUGGCUUUGUAAGUCAGCGAUUAAAUAUCGACGCUUAACGUCGAAACUGUUGUUGAUACUGCAUUGCUUGAGGAUAGCAGGGGUAGGCGGAACUUUAGGUGUAGGGGUGAAAUCCGUAGAUAUCUAAAGGAACACCAAUGGCGAAGGCAGCUUACGUAGGCUAUAUCUGACACUGAGAUGACGAAAGCGGUGGGGAGCGAACGGGGAUUAAGAAACC
rnacentral:rRNA from 1 species